rnacentral:rRNA from 1 species
AUUGAACGCUGGCGGCAUGCCUUACACAUGCAAGUCGAACGGCAGCGCGGGGCAACCUGGCGGCGAGUGGCGAACGGGUGAGUAACAUAUCGGAACAUACCCUAGAGUGGGGGAUAACGUAGCGAAAGUUACGCUAAUACCGCAUACGCACUAAGGUGGAAAGUGGGGGAUUCGCAAGAACCUCAUGCUCAUGGAGUGGCCGAUAUCUGAUUAGCUAGUUGGUGAGGUAAAGGCUCACCAAGGCGACGAUCAGUAGCUGGUUUGAGAGAACGACCAGCCACACUGGAACUGAGACACGGUCCAGACUCCUACGGGAGGCAGCAGUGGGGAAUUUUGGACAAUGGGCGCAAGCCUGAUCCAGCAAUGCCGCGUGCAGGAUGAAGGCCUUCGGUUGUAAC